CUUAACCCACUGAGCGAGGCCGAGGAGCGAACCAGUGUAAUCCAGGUAAACGGACUCAUCCAUGGAAACUGUCUCUUUGCGCCCUUUCAGGAAUUCCAGCCAGAUGAAUACAAAUGACCAAAAUGCAACUUUCCAAUCUUCGUGUACAGAAACCAUAAAACUCAAAAGUAACUGGAGAAACACAAAACUUAAAACAAUCCAUCCCUUGCCAGCCGCAAGUAUUAAACUUGAAACAACAGCAGGGCGCUCUGCUAGCAGACGUGACGAGAAGCCUGGUGCCCCCGAGGGGUCCUGGGAUCGCAAACCAAGUAACCAGUUUGAAAGAAACUGGAGCACACGAACGGUUAACCAUAAAACAGUUAUGCUCUUCUCAGAGUUCCUGCUGCGGCUCAGCUGGUUAAGAAGCCAACUAGUAACUGUGAGGAUGUGGGUUCGAUCCCUGUCCUCGCUCAGUGGGUUAAGGAUCCAGCGUUGCCACAAGCUGUGGUGUUGGUCCCAGACGUGGCUCGGAUUCUGUGUUGCCGUGGCUCUGGUGUAGGCCGGCAGCUACAGCUCCAAUUUGACCCCCAGCUUGGGAACCUCCAUAUGCUACAGGUGCAGCUCUAAAAAAAAAGUUUUGCUCUUCUCAAAAUCAACUAAGACUAUAGCUUUGGUGCUAAGACCUCAAGGGCAGAUAAAAUACGAAAUGUGAGCCAAGUUGAAGAGGCAGGCACUUUGCUAUGUUUAAGCUUUCCAGCCCAGGCCAGCUGACAAGCCGGGAAGCUGUGCAGGAGCCAGACAGGCGAAUCCCAGCAGCGGGGAAGCCCUGGGCGGGGAGAUGGACACGGCGGGAAAGGUCAGAGCAGGCUCCUUCUGCGGAUCAGAGGCUGGAGAGGCCCCAGGUGGCCGCUGCUCGGCUCCCCACCCCCGCACCCCCCCCCCACCGAACCCUGAUGUGUCCAAGGUGCCGUCACUGCUGCCUUAUCAGAGCAGAGUCUCCGGGCCCCCCGGGAGAUGUCGGUUUUAAUGUUUUUGUUUGGCUUUAGAAUGUUUGUUUGCAGUAUGUAAGAACAUUUGGCAAAUUAAUCUUGGCUUUUAGCCUUGAUUCCAAUGUAACCCCUGAGUGUCCGAUCCUGCACGCUUCCCUUUUAGUGAAGAGGUACGGAAACGCACUAGGAUCGGAAACCCUUCCACGUCCUGAGGGUGACGGGCAGGCGCUAUUCCAGGCGCUGGCGACCUGGCGGGCGGGGAACACAUCCACGCCCCUCGGCCCACGAGGCUCCCCUCCGGGAAGGUCUGGCAAGUCCGAGAACGUGGGGUUCCCUGCAGGUGCGAUUCUAAUCACUAGACCUAGUCACGGAGGCUUUAUUUAUGUGGUGCUUAAAAUGAAAACUGCAUCUACUAAACUUAAAACUACGGUUCGAAAGGUGUGAGGAAAUUUACGUUGCAUGUGGGAGGCUCAGUAGGACUGGUGUAUGUGGUCUGAUCACCUUGAGCUGAUGGAGGCUGUCUUAGGGUUAAAGACGAAAAUUUACUAAAUUUACAAAGAGUAGAAUAAAAUGUAUAAAUUCUAUGUAAAAGGGGGGGGGGGACAGGUCUGUAACUCUGUAGCUUUAAUAAAUGCUGGUUUUAAAACGACUUCAAGUGAUAUCUUCCCGUGCUCAAAAGCCUUAUUUCAAAGGGCAUUAAAAGCGCACAACACGGGAGCUCCCCUUGUGGCGCAGCAGAAACAAACCUGACCAGUAUCCACGAGGAUGCGAGUUCGACGCUUGGCCUCGCUCAGUGGGUCGGGGAUCUGACGUUGCCAUGAGCUCUGGUGCAGGUGGCUAAUCCAGCUCAGAUCCCACCUUACAGGGCUGUGGUGCAGGCCAGCAAUUCAACCCCUAGCCUGGGAACUUCCACCGGCCGUGGGUUCGGCCCUAAAAACCAAAACCAAAACAAACACUCAUGGCAAGAAAGCUGGAUAUGUGGAAACAGAGCCUACAUGUCACCCCAGGGGCAGAGGAAUCCACCGCAGUUCCCCCCCGCAGCUCCCCCUCCGUGAACACGACGGUCACGUCCAAGAGAAAAGGCGCCUCGGGCCUGGCAAGUGGAAAGGCAGGCACGCGACCUGCUGGGAGCACGACGGUGCCUUUUAUUCAGCCUGCAACGGCGUCUUGAAAGCCUUGUCUGUGCCCAGCUCCGUUCUAAAUCCUGGGGACGCGGCAAGAAACCAAGCAAGGUGCCUGCCGUCAAGAGACCGUUUCCUAACAACGCUGGAAAGCAUCCGGAUUACGGGGGAGGGACAGCGCCCCAGGACCAAGAGCGUGGGGUCCGCUCUGGCGCCCGUUGUGAAGUCUGGGGGUCUUUUCAGUCCUGAUUAGACACUGGAGGGGUUUCUUGCUCCUGGCAGAAGUAUGUCCCUGUCGCUCUACUUCCUGGUGGACGGGCGGGUGGGAAGUGACCCGAGUCUGUGCAGACCCCCCUGGCACCCGCUCUAACUGUGCUGAGCCCACUCGCGGUUCGAGCCGUUUGUGGAGCGUCUGCAGGUUCUCCUUAGCGCGUGUCGUCACCUAAAGAUCACGCGGAGACAGAGCCCCAGUCAAGACUCCUGCUGGUUCUGAGAAACUCCCAAAACUGAGGCACAGGGCUCCCGGUGACCUGGCUGGCAAAGCAGAGGCUCCCACGAGAUCAGACCUGGAGGCAGCCACCCCGGAGCCGCUCGGUGUGGGUCCUGCUCAGGCAGCCCGUGCCAGUGCCCAGGCCAACACGCAGGCGCCAGGAACAUGGGCCCCGAGGGGCCACCAGUGUCCCAGAGGGGCUGCGCGAGGGCGGGGAGGAGGACGGGGGAAGGGCUCUCCCCAGCGCCACCGGAGGCCCUACUCAGACACGCUCCGCACCCCCCGCCACGGGGCCCUCGCCCCCUCUCCAGUCCGACCUGACCUCUCUGACUCCCUCGGAACCAAGAGACACCCAAAGUGAUGCAGGGCACCCCCACGGCUGGGUGAAGCAGGUGACGUGCUCCUGCCUCGAGGCCCCUCACUUCUGCAGCCCUGAGGCCGCCCCCCAGUAACAAGUCUGACUAACCAGACCCCCCCACCCCCAGAGGCGAGGAAGCCCAGGCCACAGGGAGGGUCUGUCCAAGGGGCUCUGGGCCACAGCCCGGCUCCCAUCCCAGCCGACAGCCAGCAUGGAUUUCCGAGCUGGAGCACCUCUCCCCCCAGACUCUGGAGCCCUCGGCCACCAGGCCACCCCCAGCCCCCAUGCCCCCCUAGCUGAGGACCCGACCUUGAGGAGCAGAGACGGGCCGUUUCCACCGCACUCUUUCCGAACUGUUGGCCCGCAGACCCACGAGCAGGACGAGAGGGCCAGGCUGUGCCCGGCCUGGCCGAGCGGGGACGCGGUGCCAUUGCUCUGCCACAGUGAGGCGACAGGGACACGGCUAGACACCUCCCGAGGCCAACCUGGCCGUGCCGUGUCCUCUGCCUGGUAUUUCGGAGAACGCAACAGAACUGUGUUUUGUAAAAAUUAACAAACAGAAACCUCGAUUCGACAGAGUCGGGAGCCAGCAGGGGGCGCGCGCAGGCCCCGACGGUGGGGACGCAUGGGAAGCAGACUGGCUGCUCCGGGCCUGGCGAGAGCUCAGCGAAGAGAGGCCACCAGCGAACCCUCACUUCCUGCAGGGACUCUGCUGACUGCAGCCCCCCAACUUCUCCCCCUUUUCAAUCGGCUCUCCCUCCCUCGUGGCAGCGCAGCCUCGCCAGGGUCGCAAUUCUUCGUGAUCCCGAAUAGCUUCGAUUUUGCUAGAGAAGUAACCAGCAGUCUGUUUCAGGUCAACCGUUUCUAGAUUAACUCAGAACUCACAAGGAAGUCACAACAGCCCGGGCAGUCUGACAACUGUGAUGCCUAAGAAUGGUAACUGUAUCAACGCAACCUGUGAAUUACGGGAAUUACGUCAUUCGAAGUGGGAACGGAUGGGAGUUCCCACUGCAGUGCACUGGGGUAAGGACCCAGUGUGGCUGCAGCUCCAGCCCAGGUGUGUUCCCUGGCUGGGGAACUUCCGUGCCACGAGGAUGGGCAAGUGAGGGGAAAGGGGGCAGGUCGGACGAAGGUGACCCACUGGGUACACACCGCGAAUGACCUUCAACCACGUACCUUCGAGGACACACAGGUGUCAGCUUGCUCUGCAGACAUUCGUGAGUCUACAGAAAACGACGGCCUGGUGCUCGAUGCCUGGUACCAGUGGUAUAUCUCCAAAAGAUCCGAACACCUUCCGGUACUAAAGGGGAAAGGACGCCUCCUUCCUGCCUGAUCCUGGCGUGUAAGAAGCCUGUAACGGAGUCCACACACACUGACAGCCCACGGACGACCCCACACCACCCAAGAGCACGUGAGCACUGGGCAACCAUGAGGUCUACGCCCUAGAAUUCCACUCUGGAGAACAGGCAUCUAGCUUUGACUCAACAGCUAAGCUACAGAAACAGUCACCACCCAGCCCAUCAUUUCCUGGACUCCUAGUAACGCCUCCAGACCCUCCUCCCGCCCCACCCCGCCACCCUCUGCCCUGCAGCCCCAGGGAUGGCAUCACGAAGGCUUGCUGUUCCCUCUGGGUACCAGUCUUCAGAGUCACCGCCGGUUUCCUGGCCUUCUCUAGUGACUGGCGAGGUGGUUUCAGGACACUAGGAUCUCCUGGGUUUGAACAUUUACAAACUAAGGGCAGUUUUUAAAAUAUGUAUACAUGUUUUGACACUCCCAUUACCGCAUCUUUUUCCAACGCAAGCCCCUGCUGUUACCUCCUACAGCCUUUUAUCCCAUCCUGGUAAUUCUUUUUGUUUUCUUGGUUUUUGUUUUGUUUUGUUUGCCUUUUUUAGGGCUGCACCCAUGGCAUAUAGACAGUCCCAGGCUAAGGGUGAAUCAGAGCUACAGCUGCUGGUCUACACCCCAGCUCACGCCAAGGCCAGGGAUCGAACCCGCAUCUUCAUGGAUCCCAGUCGGACGGGGUUCUGCAGCGCCAUGGCGGGACCUGCACGCCCUGGUGAUUCGAGACAGCUUUCUGCUUUUAGGUGAAAUGGGGCUCCAGGCUCAGCUUGUCUAUUUGCUGUGCCAAGCCCAGACUUUUCCAGGCCACGCGAGCCUGGAGCCGACUUCUCGCAGGGGGCAGGUGUGCGGGGACCACGGUCAGUGCCGGGGGGCUCGCUGUCCUGGCUGCUCACGGGUCCCAGGACGAUUCCACGGACAGGGAGGAAAUCUUUUCUCACAAAUUUUUUUUUAAAACAAGUUAACACUGAUGCCUCCAAUUCAAAUCUGAGAUUACAGGGUAUUUACAUAACUACUUUGAAUUACAACUUGUAUGUCUUUCUUUCUUACCCUGAAAACCGUGUUUCCUAAUGACAGCGACAUAACGACUCAUGUCUGUAUGUAUAUGGUAUCAAGAUAACAUGAAUAUCAUGCUAACAACUGGAGUAUUGAGAACUGUUUUAAGAUUUCUCUAAAGUUCAAGAUUUAGCCCACUAAGACAGAUGUAUAAUCCAGUUUGUUUUGUUCUGUAUUUUGUCUUUUUAGGGCUACACCCCCAGCACAUGGAGGUUCCCAGGCUAGGGGUCGCAUCGGAGCUACAGCUGCCGGUCCACACCACAGCCACAGCCCCACCGGAUCCGAGCCUCGUCUGCAAUCUACACCACAGCUCACGGCAACGCCAGAUCUUUAACCCACUGAGCAAGGCCAGGGAUCAAACCCACAUUCUCAUGGAUCCUAGUUGGAUUCAUUUCCGCUGCGCCAUGACGGGGGCGCCAAGCUUUUUGGAUCAUGAGCAAACACUUAACGGCCUCUCUGAGAUGAAAUGCACGCUCUCCUCACACCCCGCGCAUCCUAACACGAGGUGAGACGGCUCAGGGGCGGCAGGCUGGCCGCCCCUUCGCGCCCGCUUACAGCUGCAGAUGGAGCACCUUGGGGUGUGGACGCUGCACGGCUGACUCAAGCGCCGCUCUGGGGGCCUGGGCCUGCUUCCGGGCCGUUAAAGGGAUCUUCUGGAGCCCUAGAUCCAACGAGGACACACCACUUACACCCUGCAGGGGACUCCCGCUGCCUGCAAGACUGGGACCCUAAGUCUCCCCAGGCGGGACUGCAGCGUGGCUGCUCCUUGCUGUCCCCCCCCCAACUGCAGUCAGAGGCCCAUGUCCCCCACACAUACACCCUCAAAGCCUCUGGACACACAGCAGCACCCCCUCACACUGCACUCAGAGGCCCAU
rnacentral:lncRNA from 1 species